rnacentral:ribozyme from 1 species
ACGAUACAUACCGGAAACACCUCAAUCAACAACCAAGUGACAUUGAAUAUAUACAAAAUGUGAAGAUUGGGUGUCCAUUUUUGUGGUGGUGAGUGUGGUGGUUGUUGAUUGCAUGUUGGCUCAAUCUUAUUCAAUUUAUUUUUUAUUUGUUCAUUUCUUUUCGUUGUC